AUAGAAGUAGUAACUUAUCUCUAUAUGAAAGACAAUAAAUUUGUCAAGUAGGAAAUGAAACAAGUGGACGAUUAAAAAUGUUAUGAUCACACAAGCGUACUGUUUGCAGUAGUUGGCAGUUUUCUCUGCAGAUACGUGGAUUUUCUAUGGCAUUGGUAUACGCUCUGUGUAUAUUGUAAGUGGCUGCGGUAUUCGGCUAGUCAGAUCGAUGAGACGCCGUCGUCGUGGCGCCUCGUGAACGCCCAGCCCUGCUGUCUUGGCUAAACUUGCGCUUUUGGGAUCACUUAUCUUUCUCAUAUAUUUUUAUAUAAUAUUGACAGACAUUGCUAAAUAAUGAUAAUUACCUUUUGUAAACUGUCCAACAGUUUUGGAUAACGAGAACGAAGCCAGUUAUGUAAUCGUGCUAAUUACUAGUCGUUAAUCUUCAAUCGGCAUAUGAAAAAUGUAAUUAUAAUUGUAUCGGAGAGUAUAAAGAAAGCGUCGUAAUAUCUUAAUGGCAACGAUACAAGAGGUAGACGUGCUUUAUCGCAGGAGAAAAAUUUGAAAUCUUUAAAAGGAGGCCAUCGACGUUAUAGCUGCUGAAUACACCGCGUUACAGACUGUAAUGUAGAAGAUGCCAAGUGUAAAAUAAUUCGAACGAUGUAAUAAUGAUGCUGAUGCAAAUGCUAAGAACCAGAACGAGAAAAAUUUGAAUAGAUAGAAAGGAUAUCAAUAAUUAUGAAAUACUGAUGUUUUUGAAAAAAUUGGAAGAAAAAUAUACCAUCAAUCGGGUACGAUAUUUCAUAGAUACAGGGUUGAAGAUUGUGAGAUGCAAUGCGGCAAUCGAAGACGGCCAACGAAUCGAUAUAUCGACCGCACGAUCAACAAACAUUUUAAUUGAUGACAUUAUUUCUUUUCUUUAUGA